UCCACCUAUAAACCUCGCCCCUCGAUCGCUCCUCCGAUCAUUGACCACUCAUUCAUUCUCCAUUCCGAUCUUUCCUUCCUUCCUUCCGAUCCAACGAUGGUUGCAGCGUCGAGCAAGGGGUCACCGGCGUUCCGAUGCGGCCGGCCGAAGUCGAGUCUGAGGAAGAGAUGGAAGGCGAUGGUGAAGCAACAGAAGACAAGAUCCUACAUCUUCUGCCGUUGCAUCGCCAUUCUCCUUUGCUGGCAUGCACACGAGUAAAAUCUCUCUCCUCCGUCGAGCUUGGAUCGUCGUCGAUCAAAUGUACAUAGGUUUUGACGCCCGGAGAAGAAGAAGAAGAAGAAGAAGAAGAAAGAACCCAAGUCACCACCAGUCACCACUCUCCACCAUCGUCACCUUCUAAAUCUCUUUGUAACUUGAUUAAUUCCCUUCUGUAAUCUCAAUUAAUCUCUUUGUCGCUUUCAUGCACUCGUGCAUCUGGAAACUCAGAUUCUGGUAUGAAGAAUAGAAUAAAUUAAAAAUAAAAUUAUGGUAAAUUCUUGAUUACAGAAGUUCUACUUCUACUGCUGCUGAUUCUUAUGCACAUGGAUGUAGCUACUAGCUACCUACCGGAUUGAUACCAUGGAGAUGGUAUCCAUGGUAUCAGUGCAUUACGCAUCAGGUCAGUUGGUAAUAAACACUAUUAAGAUGAUUGAAAAUUUAAGAUUCGAGUAUCACUAAACUUAUCAGAAAAGAAAAGAUGGUAUCAUAAUUCAUGGAAUCAUGGGUCAGGUAGCUGAUUGAGACAUCUCUUGCCCUGCUAGCUCUCAUGGCUCCACCAGAAUUCAAUAUUGCAGUUACAUUCAGCAACAAAACAAAUUACAAAGGACAAAACCCCAAGGGGACAAGCCAGGUGAGGCUGAGCUGUACCUGGAUGUGUAUAUGGAUAAUCUUCAAAUUU
rnacentral:lncRNA from 1 species